rnacentral:rRNA from 1 species
ACAGUCACACAUUAGAUACCCGGGUAGUCCUAGCCGUAAACGAUACUCGCUAGGUGUCGGCCACGGUGCGACCGUUGUCGGUGCCGUAGGGAAGCCGUGAAGCGAGCCACCUGGGAAGUACGGCCGCAAGGCUGAAACUUAAAGGAAUUGGCGGGGGAGCACCACAACGGGUGGAGCUUGCGGUUUAAUUGGAUUCAACGCCGGAAAUCUUACCGGGACCGACAGCAACAUGAAGGCCAGGCUGAAGACUUUGCCGGAUUAGCUG